GAUGAACGCUGGCGGCGUGCCUAAUAUAUGCAAGUCGAGCGAACAGACGAGGAGCUUGCUCUUCUGACGUUAGCGGCGGACGGGUGAGUAACACGUGGAUAACCUACCUAUAAGACUGGGAUAACUUCGGGAAACCGGAGCUAAUACCGGAUAAUAUAUUGAACCGCAUGGUUCAAUAGUGAAAGACGGUUUUGCUGUCACUUAUAGAUGGAUCCGCGCCGCAUUAGCUAGUUGGUAAGGUAACGGCUUACCAAGGCAACGAUGCGUAGCCGACCUGAGAGGGUGAUCGGCCACACUGGAACUGAGACACGGUCCAGACUCCUACGGGGGGCAGCAGUAGGGAAUCUUCCGCAAUGGGCGAAAGCCUGACGGAGCAACGCCGCGUGAGUGAUGAAGGUCUUCGGAUCGUAAAACUCUGUUAUUAGGGAAGAACAAAUGUGUAAGUACCUAUGCACGUCUUGACGGUACCUACUCAGAAAGCCACGGCUAACUACGUG
rnacentral:rRNA from 1 species